UUCAAACGUUUGAGUGAGUCUGUGUGUGUGUGUGUGUGUGUGUGUGCGAGUCUCUGUGUGUUAGUGUGUGUAUAUAUGCGUGUGAUUGUGUGUACAUAUGCGUGCUUAUAUAAAAGCAUGCUUCAUUGAAUGAUGACUUCUGAGAUAAAUUUAACAGAUUUUCUUGGUUAAAAUUUGACCAAUGAGACAUAAAGACGCAGUGAGCAGCAACAAGAGACAUAACAAGAAAGAAUAAUUCUCAUCUUUGACAUUUUAAAUGUUCUUAUAUUUUAAGAGUUAUUCACAUUUUAAACUUUAAUAAAUCCUUUUUCCACUUUU